GAGAGUUAGGUAAAUCCGGCUCUCUUUAAGGCUGAGACACGAUGUCGAGCUACUACGGUAGUGAAGUCAUUGAUGCCAUGCUUCCAGGAAAAGCCUCUAAGCUUCAGAUUGUAAGGAAUCGUACCCCAAACCGACACAGGUGGUCGGGUAGAGAAUACCAAGGCGCUUGAGAGAACUCGGGUGAAGGAACUAGGCAAAAUGGUACCGUAACUUCGGGAGAAGGUACGCUCUCGACGGUGAAGUCCCUCGCGGAUGGAGCUAUUGAGAGUCGCAGAUACCAGGUGGCUGCAACUGUUUAUUAAAAACAC
rnacentral:rRNA from 1 species